rnacentral:rRNA from 1 species
GAUGAACGCUAGCGGCAGGCCUAAUACAUGCAAGUCGAACGGUGUCUUCGGACAUAGUGGCGCACGGGUGCGUAACACGUAUGCAACCUACCUUACAUUGGGGGAUAGCCCGAAGAAAUUCGGAUUAAUACCGCAUAAGACCACGACACGGCAUCGCGACGGGGUCAAACAUUUAUGGGAGAAGGAUGGGCAUGCGUGCCCUUAGCUAGUUGGCGGGGUAACGGCCCACCACGGCGACGAUGGCUAGGGGAUCUGAGAGGAUGGCCCCCCACACUGGUGCUGAGACACGGACCAGACUCCUACGGGAGGCAGCAGUAAGGAAUAUUGGUCAAUGGAGGCAAUUCUGAACCAGCCAUGCCGCGUGCAGGAAGACGGCCCUCUGGGUUGUAAACUGCUUUUGUACGGGAAUAAACCUCCGAUCGUGAUCGGAGCUGAAUGUACCGUAAGAAUAAGGAUCGGCUAACUCCGUGCCAGCCGCCGCAGUAACAC